rnacentral:ncRNA from 1 species
ACAGUACAAACUGAGCAGGCGAUGCCCGAGAGUAUCAGAUAUCGAGGGCGUGGGGCCGGGCCGCGUAAGUGGCAGCAGAUAUGAACUUUUCAGACAUAUCUGUGGGACAGU